UAGGGAAUCUUCCACAAUGGGCGAAAGCCUGAUGGAGCAACGCCGCGUGUGUGAUGAAGGGUUUCGGCUCGUAAAACACUGUUGUAAGAGAAGAAUGACAUUGAGAGUAACUGUUCAAUGUGUGACGGUAUCUUGCCAGAAAGGAACGGCUAAAUACGUGCCAC
rnacentral:rRNA from 1 species